rnacentral:rRNA from 1 species
ACGCUGGCGGCAGGCCUAACACAUGCAAGUCGAACGGUAACAUUUCUAGCUUGCUAGAAGAUGACGAGUGGCGGACGGGUGAGUAAUGCUUGGGAACUUGCCUUUGCGAGGGGGAUAACAGUUGGAAACGACUGCUAAUACCGCAUAAUGUUUACGGACCAAACGGGGCUUUUAGCUCCGGCGCAAAGAGAGGCCCAAGUGAGAUUAGCUAGUUGGUAAGGUAAUGGCUUACCAAGGCAACGAUCUCUAGCUGUUCUGAGAGGAAGAUCAGCCACACUGGAACUGAGACACGGUCCAGACUCCUACGGGAGGCAGCAGUGGGGAAUAUUGCACAAUGGGGGAAACCCUGAUGCAGCCAUGCCGCGUGUGUGAAGAAGGCCUUCGGGUUGUAAAGCACUUUCAGUUGUGAGGAAAAGUUAGUAGUUAAUACCUGCUAGCCGUGACGUUAACAACAGAAGAAGCACCGGCUAA